GAUGAACGCUAGCGGCAGGCCUAAUACAUGCAAGUCGGACGGGAUUCAGGAGCUUGCUUCUGAUGAGAGUGGCGCACGGGUGCGUAACACGUAUGUAACCUACCUUUAUCAGGGGGAUAGCCUCUCGAAAGAGAGAUUAAGCCCGCAUAAAAUCACAGCACAGCAUUGUGUAAUGAUCAAAUAUUUAUAGGAUAAAGAUGGGCAUGCGGAACAUUAGCUAGAUGGCGGGGUAACGGCCCACCAUGGCGACGAUGUUUAGGGGAUCUGAGAGGAUGGCCCCCCACACUGGUACUGAGACACGGACCAGACUCCUACGGGAGGCAGCAGUAAGGAAUAUUGGUCAAUGGGCGGAAGCCUGAACCAGCCAUGCGGCGUGCAGGAAGACGGCCCUACGGGCUGUAAACUGCUUUUAUACGGGAAUAAACCCAGAUACGUGUAUCUGGCUGAAUGUACUGUAAGAAUAAGGAUCGGCUAACUCCGUG
rnacentral:rRNA from 1 species